GUUCUUGCUUCGGCAGAACAUAUACUAAAAUUUGAUCGAUACAGAGAAGAUUAGCAUAGCCCCUGCGCUCGGCUGGCUGAUAAGUAAUUUAGUGAUACAACAUACAU